GUGGUUCUGCCAGCCCAAAAUACAGCUUUGCAGGCCUCCGUCUUGGCUCCAGCUCAUCUCAAAUUUUCUUCUCAGGGCAUUGUUCAGACUACACCUAUUAACAGGAUCACCUGGUUCUGCAGAAAAUACACACAGCAACAGGUUUUGUCAUAUUAUCCUGGUCUGUCUCUUGUUCCACCCUGGCCCUUCCUAGAACUGGGAGCAGGACUGGCUGGCCUACAGCUUUCCAAGCAGAGUGCAGAGGCUGCAGAAGGACUUCAUUUGGCCUGAAGUGGUUCAGGAAGAGCUGAAAGCAAAUCUUCCCCAAGGCCCUGGUGUA